UACAGAGGUCCCAAGCGUUGUUCGGAUUCAUUGGGCGUAAAGGGUGCGUAGGCGGCGCGGUAAGUCGGGUGUGAAAUCUCGGAGCUUAACUCCGAAACUGCAUUCGAUACUGCCGUGCUUGAGGACUGGAGAGGAGACUGGAAUUUACGGUGUAGCGGUGAAAUUCGUAGAUAUUCGCAAGAACACCAGUGGCGAAGGCGGCUCACUGGCCCAUUACUGACGCUGAGGCACGAAAGCGUGGGGAGCAAACAGG
rnacentral:rRNA from 1 species